rnacentral:pre_miRNA from 2 species
CCUUAUGGAUGAGCAAAGAAAGUGGUCUCCUGAGAUGGAAUCUGCUCCUGGUGAAUAUAUUGUGAA